rnacentral:tRNA from 2 species
GGGAUGAUAGUGUAAGGGUAUCAUCCAGGUUCCCCAUACCUGGGACGGGGGUUCGAGUCCCUCUCAUCUCA